UGCAAGCGUUAUCCGGAUUCACUGGGUUUAAAGGGAGCGUAGGUGGGUUGGUAAGUCAGUGGUGAAAUCCCUAAGCUUAACUUGGGAACUGCCAUUGAUACUAUUAAUCUUGAAUACCGUGGAGGUCAGCGGAAUAUGUCAUGUAGCGGUGAAAUGCUUAGAUAUGACAUAGAACACCAAUUGCGAAGGCAGCUGGCUACACGAAUAUUGACACUGAGGCUCGAAAGCGUGGGGAUCAAACAGG
rnacentral:rRNA from 1 species